rnacentral:lncRNA from 1 species
UCCUACGUCAGAUCGAAGAGUGGUCGCCUCGUAUCUGGCACAUCCUGUAUGUGGCACUUCACAUGUUCUGAGCUCGCUGUAAGUAGAAGACCAUGAAUAUCAUACAACAUACUGUACUAAAAAUUUCUGUAUCUAUCUGAUCACAAGCCCUGAAAUGUAUGUACUCACUCUUGUUUUUAUCCAUAUACACAUGAUGUGUGGUUGCUGACCAAGAAGCCGGGUUGGUGCAUGGAAUGGAGAUGAAAUUAAGAGUAGCUUAACUAAUUAUAUAGACUAGAUCGCACUGGUUAUUGUAAUCCUAUCUAUCUAUCUAUCAAUAGAUCUAGUACUUUGUCUUUAUUUGGCGGGCUGGUAAACAGACAAACACACAAACGGCCAAACAAACAAACUAGAGGAGGAUUCUGCUGCCCAGCUUGACGCGACCAACACCAAUGUCUUGUACUGGGAUAUCUCCAUCUCCUGGCAAUCUUUCCUUGAUUGAUGGUGCGACAUCGUACCGGGGCAUCUUCUAAGCAACGAUGAAUGAAUGUAUUGGUGUUGGGGGGUUGAAAAUGAAACCAGGAAUUGUGUUUGUUUCGUGUCUCAGUUUGAAUCAACCUGCAACUGUCUGUCGCAAACACCUGCUCCUCCUCACUCUCGAGGUUCCAACGCAACGGGCACAAGUAGGAGGGAGAUAUUCAGCGUAACAGCUACCUACACUGCUGCUGAGAUCCGAUUAGGCGCUUAUGGAAGUUGGAACUGAAUUUUUUUGAACUAAAGCAGCCACGACACAUAUUUUGGGACGGAGAGAGUACUUCAAUGCUUGUUCUGCUGUCUAAAUCUACAUACAUAUACUACCACUUGAGCAUUGUGUGCUGCGUUCAGAGGUACUAUUUGGUAAACAGGCAUGGAGGAAUACUCCCUCUGUUCAAAGCUCACAUUCUCAUUUCUCAAGCAUGGAAGAUACUCCCC